GUCUUCAUUUCACUUUCGCAUUUACCCUGAUGUGAAAGGGUCCUCUGUCUCCACACUACCUCUUGGCCAUUCCUCGCCGGAACACUCKGCUGUGUUGAACUUGCGCACCAAAGGCCAGGCAGAUCAGCAGGCGCCUGACACACAGCCAACACCUCAGGAUGACUAUGAUCUCUGGGAUGAUGAUUUGCGGAGGGAUGGUCGCCAUCUGUGCUGUUAUCACAGUCUUUGCGACCAUAAAUGCUCACAUUCAGGUGAAGGUGGAUGUCAACAAUUACUUUGGAGGAGGCAGGCCCUGCUCCAAGCCCCCUAGUCGCAAGAAGUGAGAUCCAGCCUGCAGAUCAGAGGACCACCCCCCUUCUCUGCUUUCAUAAUCUGAUUCCUUCCUUUCCAGACAAGCUCAAGGCUUGUCUGCUCACCCCCUGCGCUGCACCCUUCAAUUCAGCCUGCUGCCUCCUGCUCUUCUUCUGAAAGGCAGAGGGGUUUUCCAUGUGUUUUAGCACCAGGCUCCUCCCUGAGGCGCGGGUUCCUGUGUGCUUGUGCKUGGACAUCCUCUCGCAGGCUUCUCGCAAACCACCACCUGCACUUCUCUGCCUGGGGUUUAUAGGUGAGGAGGAAAAUAUCCAGGCACCCGUCUUCUUCUUUCAAUCAUCCGU